AGUGACAAUAAAUAACAAUGCUGAAGUUCAUACUUUGGUAAUUGGAAUGAGAACAAUUUAAACCCCUUAACGAGUAACCAUCAGAGGGCAAGUCUGGUGCCAGCAGCCGCGGUAAUUCCAGCUCUGAUAGCGUAUAUUAAUACUGUUGCAGUUAAAAAGCUCGUAGUUGGAUUUUAGAGUGUAUUGAUACGGUCUCUUGUGAUAAACUUGUUGUACUGUAUUAAUUACUCUUUCCUACUGGUUACUCGACUCUGUUCCAUGGAGUAGUGUCGCAAGGCAUCGCUUAGUAUUUUAUUGCUUUUAGAUGUAGUAAUUGGGUAAAACUGGUUGCGAAACCUAAGGGAUCACAGUAAAGUAUUAAGUGGGGUUCCAGUUCAUUUACUUUGAGUAAAUUAGAGUGUUCUAAAGCAGCCUGUAUGGGCGAUUGAAUAGAUUAGCAUGGGAUAAUAGAAUAGGAUUCUUGUCUA
rnacentral:rRNA from 1 species